rnacentral:tRNA from 1 species
GGAAUGUAGUUCAGUUGGUAGAGUGCUUGCCUCACAUGUACAAGGCCCUGGAUUCAAUCCCCAGCACCA